CCUACGGGAGACAGCAGUGAGGAAUAUUGGUCAAUGGACGCAAGUCUGAACCAGCCAUGCCGCGUGCAGGAAGACGGCUCUAUGAGUUGUAAACUGCUUUUGUACGAGGGUAAACGCAGAUACGCGUAUCUGUCUGAAAGUAUCGUACGAAUAAGGAUCGGCUAACUCCGUGCCAGCAGCCGCGGUAAUACGGAGGAUUCAAGCGUUAUACGGAUUUAUUGGGUUUAAAGGGUGCGUAGGCGGUCGGAUAAGUUAGAGGUGAAAUCCCGAGGCUCAACUUCGGAAUUGCCUCUGAUACUGUUCGGCGAGAGAGUAGUUGCGGUAGGCGGAAUGUAUGGUGUAGCGGUGAAAUGCUUAGAGAUCAUACAGAACACCGAUUGCGAAGGCAGCUUACCAAGCUACUUCUGACGUUGAGGCACGAAAGCGUGGGGAGCAAACAGGAUUAGAUACCCGUGUAGUC
rnacentral:rRNA from 1 species